ACACUGACGUCGCGACGCAUAUCAAUAAGCGGAGGAAAAGAAACUAACAUAGGAUUCCCUUAGUAACGGCGAGUGAAGCGGGAAGAGCUCAAAUUUGAAAUCUUCAAGGUUUCUACCUUGACGAAUUGUAGUUUAAAGAAGUGUUUUCUGUUAGUGGUAGUUGGUAAAAGUUCUUUGGAAUAGGACAUCAUAGAGGGUGAGAAUCCCGUAUUUGGUCAUUCCUUCUAGCUUUGUGAUACACUUUCAAAGAGUCGGAUUGUUUGGGAAAUGCAGUCCAAAAUGGGUGGUAAAUUUCAUCUAAAGCUAAAUAUUGGCGAGAGACCGAUAGCGAACAAGUACCGUGAGGGAAAGAUGAAAAGAACUUUGAAAAGAGAGUUAAACAGUACGUGAAAUUGUCAAAAGGGAAGCGUUUGACACCAGUGUUGUUUUUCCGAAAAUCAAUUAUAAAUGUUUUGUUUCUGAGGAGUGAUGACUUCAUCGGCUUCCUUCUCUCUUCACGAAACUUUUGUAAUGCACUUUUCGGUUAACAAGUCAACAUCAAUUUCUUUUGUUGUAAUAGAGUAUUCGGAAGGUGGCUUUCUUUUCGGAGAAAGUGUUUAUAGCCCUAUACUUCUACAAUCGGAGAGAUUGAGGUCUGCAGCGUAGAUCCUUCGGGGUUAGAUACACUUGUGCUAAGUUAUAGCUUUUCAUAGACAACUUGUUGACUAUGUUUAGUCUUGUAGCUUACUCGCUUGUGCUAUUUUACCUACGCUUAGGAUGUUGAGUCGUAGAGCACGCAG
rnacentral:rRNA from 1 species